rnacentral:rRNA from 1 species
AGAGUUUGAUCAUGGCUCAGAACGAACGCUGGCGGCGUGGAUAAGACAUGCAAGUCGAACGGGAUAUCCUUUGUAGCAAUACAAAGGAUGUCUAGUGGCGUAAGGGUGCGUAACACGUGGGCAAUCUGCCGAGAAGUGGGGGAUAGCUCGCCGAAAGGCGAAUUAAUACCGCAUGUGGUUAGAGAGGACAUCCUCUCGACACCAAAGCCGGGGCAACCUGGCGCUUCUUGAUGAGCCCGCGGCCUAUCAGCUAGUUGGUGAGGUAACGGCUCACCAAGGCUAUGACGGGUAGCUGGUCUGAGAGGACGACCAGCCACACUGGAACUGAGACACGGUCCAGACACCUACGGGUGGCAGCAGUCGAGAAUUUUUCUCAAUGGGGGAAACCCUGAAGGAGCGACGCCGCGUGGAGGAUGAAGGUCUUCGGAUUGUAAACUCCUGUCAUUUGGGAACAAUUGUCACCGGUUAACUGCCGGGGGCUUGAUAGUACCAGAAGAGGAAGGGACGGCUAACUCUGUGCCAGCAGCCGCGGUAAUACAGAGGUCCCAAGCGUUGUUCGGAUUCAUUGGGCGUAAAGGGUGCGUAGGUGGCGGGGUAAGUCAGGUGUGAAAUCUCGGGGCUCAACCCCGAAACUGCACUUGAUACUGCCUUGCUCGAGUACUGGAGAGGAGAUUGGAAUUUACGGUGUAGCAGUGAAAUGCGUAGAUAUCGUAAGGAAGACCAGUGGCGAAGGCGAAUCUCUGGACAGUUACUGACACUGAGGCACGAAGGCCAGGGGAGCAAACGGGAUUAGAUACCCCAGUAGUCC